rnacentral:lncRNA from 1 species
UACGGGGGACUAAAAUUCGUGACACAAUUUUCCUUCUUAUAGAGGGGAUAUGAGCGUGCUAAAAUUAAGAGGUCAUACUCGUUUAUUUCCUAUAUUUGAAGGGUGACUCUUAUUACAUACACCAGCAAAUGGACUAACCUACUUCUAAUUUUCUAAAAUGAGAUGCAAUUCUAAAUGAUAUGGUUCAAACACAUAGAGGGUAAGGAAAUAAUAGUAGGGAAAAUAUCAUACAAAUAAAAAUGAUCUAAAAAUAAAAAAAAUGCAUGAAAUGCAAUAAAUGUCACGUGAAAGUAUGAAUUUAGCGCGAAAAUUGCUUAAAGGGUCUAACAUUGUACUAAUCCAUUUUUAUAGGUUCUCACUAGCAUUGGACUAGUGAGAAAACGAAAAAAAGGCCACAACUAGCGUUGGAUUAGUGUGGUGAUGUCAUGCAUUUAUUAUAACUAAGUAAAUCAUAUAAAACAUAAUUAAAACAAGCAAACACAUAAAACACAUAGAGCACAUAACACAGUUUUAGAUACAAAAACUCUAAAGAAAGCGAAUAAACACAUAAGCAUACAAGUAAAGAGAUGCACAUAAAAACCUAACUAUUACAUUUGGGGGUCUAACUACAAUCUAAGGGGGGAAUUUGAAAAAAUAAUAACCUAACUAUUAUAUUUAUCUAACUAAUUACAUUUUGGCAAAACUAAAAUCUAUCUAUUACAUAGCCCAACUAAAUACGUCUUGAGCAUCUAUCUAUUACAAAUUGGCAUUUAAAUAUCUCUCAAAUAAUCAUCAAAAUUAAAUAAAAUAAAUGAAAUUUAAAAUGAGUAAUUAAAGAAAAAGCACUCCAAAUAUGCAAUUACACAAAAAAAUACAUAGGAGCACAUAAGAGGAUUAAAAAUAAUGAAAGAAGGUACCUUUCUUGAAGUAAUGGUUAAAUGGGAUAGAAUUUGCCCUAUUUAUACUUCAAAAUCAGCAAAAUGGUCAAGGCACCAAUUUAAUUAAUAAAUAAAUUAUAAAGAAGUUGCAAUAACCAUGAAAUCUACCAAUUGAAACAUUUAAAUGAAGUAUAAUUAACAAUUAAAAAAGAUAAAAAACUUAUAUUUAAGAAAUCAAAAUUGUUAGGGACCUAAUUGCAAAAAUUAAGAACUUUUUUGAGUCAAAUUAUCAAUUAUUACAAAAUUUAGGGGUAAAAAAUAAAAAAUAAAGUUUAGGGACCAAAAUGUAAUUAGAAUAGGGACCUAAUUGAAAGAAAUUCAAAAUUUUUAGGACUAUAGUAAAAAUACUCAAAAGUUCAGGGACUGAAAUGCAAGUUUUGUAUCAGAUUUUUGCAAGAUAAAAGCCAUUUGGGCCAUUUUAUUAUUGCCUUGGGCCAAAACCAUCCUGGCCUAAUGAAAAGGCCUAAGAAGAAAAGUGGGCUGGCCUGCCUUUCUACCAAACAAAAAACCAACCAAAAGGUUGGGCUUUACUCUCUUAAACCCAAUGCCAAACCCAAAAAAAGAAAUGAAACACUAACCCAACUAAAAUAUGCUUUAACCCAAAACCUAAUCCAACAAGAUAUUAAAUCAAUAAAAAAUUAGAGUUCUAUUCAUGCCCUAAAAUCCAGAAAUCAAAUGCUUAAAAACAUACUUGAAACAUGAAAAAGCGGAAUAAAAAUCAAAAGGGCUGAAAUUGAUUCAUAUUUUCCAGAUUUUGGGUCGCAGUAGAAUCAUGUGAAAAUUAAGGGGUAAAUUGUAAAUUUUUCACAUUAUCAUGCAAAGCUUCGAAGCCUUUCUGCAAUUUCUUUUCUUAUUUCAUCAGAACGCAACAUACCACCAAUAAUCAUAAAAAAUUUGGACCAAAACAAGAUUAUGCAAACAUGGCAGAAAUCUCAAACCAACAGUUCACAAAAGACAUAGCAGAAGGAAAGACAAGGCUAAGAACAAAAUGAGGCAAAUCUGUUGCAGAUUCAAGCUUAUAAGGAGGGAGAAGGAUGAACAGACUACCUUUGAUAUUUGAAGACACCAAAUCAACGUGGGGGAUCCAAGAAAAAUUAGCUUCAAGGCUGGAAUCGAAUAGCUAGAGUUUUGUUGCAGAAUGUUCACGGGUUGAUGAAGCAGCAGAUUCGAGCUCGAAUUUCACGUACUUGGGGGAUUUUUUCUGGAAGUUUUUUGAACAGAAGUUGCACUUCUAUAAACAUAGAUAGUGCAGAUUUGGAAAAAACGCUGAGGCGAUUGAGAUUGAGGUUCGAUUUUGCUUAAGAAGGAGGCUGGAUGUUCAACCCCGGCUCAAGGUUUUCACCAAAAUUUUUCUGCAUUUUUUUUCUCCUUUUCUCUCUCUUUUUUCUCCUUUUUUUAUUUGCCGCCCUCCCUUUCUCACCUUAAUGGUGUCUCUUUUGCCCUUUUUAUAUGAAGUAAGAUUCCCACAACCUUACAUUCAAAGGUGUGGAUGAAGGUUGUUUUUUUGUGGCUCAACUUGAGCCAUUCGAUCCUCCCUCUUCCAGAAUUUUCUUGAUGAUUCUGGUUGAGGUGAGGUGGCAAAGGUUUGGGAAAAAAGAAUAGAAAAAAAACUGAGUGGGAUGGGAUGCAAAUUUGUUGCUGCAAUUUUCCUGUAUUGAUCUCCGCUUCUUGGCUUGUACGAAGGCGAUAAAGGAUAGCGCGCGUGCGAUAGAAGAAUUUUAUUUUAUUUUUUUUACAAAAUCUGAUUUUAAUUGAUUUUUUCUUUUCUUUUUUGUCUUUCUUUUUCUUUUUCUUUCUGAUCUUUCUGCAAAAUAAUUAAAUGCAAAUCAAAAUAAUAAAAAUAGAAAGAGAGAUAAAUAAAUAAAUAAACAAACAGACAAAUAAAUGUAAAUAAAUAAAAAUAGAUACAAAGAAAUAAUAAAAAUGGUUUAAGGAAUUUUGGGAAAAAAAAAGAAAAAAAACUGAGUGGAAUGGGAUGCAAAUUUGUUGCUGCAAUUUUCCUGUACUGAGCUCCGCUUCCUAGCUCGUACGAAGGCGAUGAAGGAUAGCGUGCGUGCGACGUGAAGAAAAUUUUUUUUUUUUUACAAAAUCUAUUUUUAAUUGAUUUUUUUCUUUUCUUUCUGAUUUUUCUGCAAAAUAAUUAAAUGCAAAUCAAAAUGAUAAAAAUAGAAAGAGAGAUAAAUAAAUAAACAAAAAAACAAAUAAACUUAAAUAAAUAAAAAUAGAUACAAACAAAUAAUAGAAACAGUUUAUAAAAUUUUUGAUGUCUAUGGAAAUUUCUUUUAUUCACAUUUGAGGCCUUUCAAAUCUAAACUACAACAAAAAAAUAGGUUCUCUUCAGCUGUGUUGAGAACUGAGGAAUGAGAACGAGGAAGAAGAGUUGGAUUCUUUAUUGGAUGAGCUGAAUGUUGGCUAGAAGUAGCAGUAUUUAUAGUAGUGAACUAAUGGGAAGAGGGAGAUGAUGGUAACUUGGGAAAUGAGGUGGUUAUGAUAGUAAGGGGUUAAGAUUUAAUGGAAGAUGAUUUAACGGCCGUUAUUUGCACAUGUAAGCAUUUUUUUUGAAAUGGUCAUCACCUUUUGACUGUUUUUCCUUACCAAACUCCCAAACUCCAAAAGAGUUCCAUUCUCUGUACGGCUCUUCGUUCCAUAACAUUUCUUCUGCACUAUAGGAACACACCAUAAUUUCCACUUUUUUCUUUUUUUUUGUCCUUUGAGUGGAUUUGAUAUUUAUUGCAGUGAUCCUAAUAUGGUCUCUUGCCAAUCCAAUCACGUUGAUACCAAAAUAUACACGUUUCCUAAUUUAGAAAUUUAUUUUCCUAUAUGAAAAUCAAGAUUAAGGCUUUUGAAGGAUUAUAAUGUAUUUGGCAUGUAUGGCCCUAUGGUUUUAAUUAGAAAUUUAUUUUCCUAUAUGAGAAUCAAGAUUAAGGCUUUUGAAGGAUUAUAAUGUAUUUGGCAUGUAUGGCCCUAUGGUUUUAAUUAUUUACCAAAAUUUCCCUAUUUGCCAUAUUUGUUUACAACGGUUUAGGUUAUACAAUAUGAAUUCAAUUAUUUUAUAUAAUUAGGUUAUGGAAUACAAAGCGUUAAUUAGAUAUCUAUGCACGAGUUCUCUUAGAAAUAUAUAGGCCAAAAUAGUGUAUAUAAUAUUUGUCGUUACCAAAGAUUUAGGUUAAGAAAUACGAAUUGAAUCGCUUUACAAAUUAGGUUAUGGAAUACAAAGCAUCAAAAAAAUUCAUGCUCGAGCUCUAUUUGCAUAUAACAGUUAAAAAUAACAUGUAUAGUGAUUUGUCAUAUUUGUUUCUUGCACUAAAAUAAUUGAUCAAAAAAAUCAAAAAAUUGAUGAUAGUUAUUCCAUCAUUAAAUAAAGUAAAAUACCAAAAUCAAACUUUAUUUGACAAAUUGGUUUUAUAAGAGAAUCUAAAAUUCUAUCGUAUACUGUUCACAUAAUAAUUAAUUAUUUCAUGAGUUAAUUGAAAAGAAAUAAUGAUAAUAAUAAUCAUGAAUAUCAAUUAUUAUGCAGUUAGCGAUCGUAAAACUAUUUGUGCAAAAAGAAUUCUACUUAUUUAUGUACCUCUAUGUUUGCAGCAUUUCUCUUGCACUAUAAUAACAAACUAUUUUUCCAGAUUUUCAAUUUAAAUGAUUUAUUUAUUUAAAUUUCCUUAUUUAGUUUUCAAUUUCCUCUUGAUGAGAAUUACCUUUCGAAUUUGGUAGGGCAAUGAUUCAUUAACGAAUGCUCUCAUGGUUUUAAUUGUAUAUAAUAGUUCUCGAUCUAGUAAUUCAUUUACAAAAAUUAAUGUUGUGGAGUACGACUUGUGUUGUCUUUUAACUUAGGAUUUUCUAGUACCCAGUGUCAAAAAACCAUGCUUGAACUCUAUUUGAUUUAUAACUAUUACAAUAGCAUACAUAAUAUUUGUCUCAGUAUAUCUUUUAUUUUUUUUAUGAGGGAAUGACUUUAAAAUAGUAAUUGACAAUCAGGAGUCCAUCCAGAAAAUGUAAACCACCAAAAUCAAACAAAAUAUCUAAUGAACUACGUUUAUAAGAGCAUCUAAUAAUUUUUUUGUCAGAUCUCAUAGCAAUCUUUUGGUUUAGAAGUUACUUAAAGAAGAUAAUAACAACUCUCGAAGAAAUAUUAGGGAGAAAAAACAACUCUGACCUCAGUACCAUGUUUCUUUCUGCUUCCUGCUAGGGUUUGGGUUUAGUUAUGGCAGUCCACUUCUCCUACCUUCUCGAAGAAAUCCUUUUCUGAGCUUUUCUCUACUUCUGUCUCGGACCAGCCUUUGUUUAAAGUCAAGGCCAUGAGGUCUUCACAUCGAGGCGAGCCGUCUAUCACAUUUGCACAGACUGAUCUUGAAGUGUUGCUUGCCCUAUUUACGUUUGCUUUGGUUGGAAAGUUUUCGAAGGGAAGGCCUAUCAUGGACGUUAUACAGAAGUUUUUCCUCUCGUUGGAUCUCAAGGAAACAGUUUCGGUGGGCUUGUUAGAUUCGAGACAUGUGCUAAUUCGAUUAGGGAACGAGGUGGACUUUCAUAGGAUUUGGUCUAGGGGCAUCUGGUACAUCCAUGGAGUGCCGAUGAGAGUGUUUAAAUGGUCUCCUGCAUUUCAUGUGGAUCGUGAGCCUUCUGUUGUUCCGGUAUGGUUCCAAUUGCCGAAAUUGCCGAUUCAUUACUUUGACAAGGAGUGCCUCUUCCAAAUUGUGAGUUGCUUGGCUAAACCGCUGUUUGUGGAUUCUGCUAGAGCUUCUGGUGUUCGUCCUAGUGAAGCUAGGGUUUGUGUAGAGAUUGACUUGCUCCAAACUCUUCCUGUGAGGAUAUGGAUUGGUAAUGGGGAGCACGGAGGUUUCUGGCAGCAGCUUAUUCUAGAGAGUCUUCCUAAGUAUUGCAGCCACUGUUUCAAGCAAGGGCAUGACAAGGAUAGGUGUCAUGUGCUCCAUCCAGCACUGAGGGUGGAAUGGGUGGAGAAGAAAGCUAAUCUAGCAGGAAAUCAUCCAAAAGGCUCUUUGGCUAUUGCGGGAGCUAUGUCGGUGCCAACUGAGAUAGGAAAAGAAAAUUUCUGUGUUGAUCAGGAGGGAUCGAUAAAGAACACUACAAGGGUUGACUCGUAUCCUUUGGGGAACAUAAGAACAGACUCUAGUGGUCUCUCUGCAGAGAACUUGCGGCAUCAGAAGAUCAUGUCUGUCAGUCCUUUGAGGGAGGGAGAUAUUGCAGUAGCCCAGCGUUCUGGUAUUCCAACGGAUGGGUCGCCUUCACCACAAGAGGUGGUUCUAGAGAAAUUGCAGCAGCGGAAUUCUGCUUCUUCCAGCUAUUCAGAGGAGAUAAUGGCUGCAGUAGCUCGUGUCACUACAAGAAAAUUGGUCAUCAGUGACAACUUUUCUCUGUGACGAAAAAAAGUUGUCACAAAAGUGGAUCUUUUAUUGACGACUUUCUAACUCGUCACAAACCUCUAAUGGGAGCCAACUCAUUUGCGACGACUUUUCUAAGUCGUCACUAGUAAAUUCCCGCCAAGAUUUAGCAAGAGCGCGGGAGUGUUUAGAACACACAAUAGUGACGACAUUAAGAACAUCAUCACUAUUGCUUGGCCUAUUUACGGACGACUUUUUGUUGUCGUCACUGAUCACUAAAAAAAAAAGUUAUUAGUGACAACAUUUUGUAGUGAUGACAAUAGGUCGUCACAAAAGGAGCUUCUUUAGUCGCGACACCUAAAGUUGUCACAAUUGCAUCAAAGUAACUAAAUGUUUAGUGACGACCCGUUAUUUUCGUCACAAACUACACUGCAAGAAAUAUGGUCAUUAGUGACAACAUUUUUUAGUGACGACAAAAGUCGUCACAAAACGUGAUUGUUUAGUGACGACAAGGAAAGUUGUCAUAAUUGCUCAAAGCAACUAAGUCUUCAGUGACGACCUUGAAAAAGUUGUCACUAAAAUGCUCUAUAUAGUGACAACUUCUAAUAUCGUCACUGUCACUCUACCGAUUCGGAUUUAGUGACAAGAAUUGAUCGUCACUGUUUAAAGUACUUAUUUCUAAGUCACUUUCAUUAAUUCUACUGUGCCACCCUAACUUUUGCGAUUUAGCCCCAAAUGUUGUAAAAAAUUCCAUUAAUUCCAUUAUGAUACCUUAACUUUUACAAUUUAGCCCCAUAUGUAGUACACCGAUUUCUUUAAUUCUAUUAUUACUCCCUAAUUUUUGUAAUUUAGCCCCAUAUGUAAUUCACCAAUUUCAUUAAUUCUACUAUGGCACUCUAACUUUUACAAUUUAACCCCCAUAUGUAAUACACCAAUUUUAUUAUUUCUAUUAUGGCACCCUAACUUUUACAAUUUAGCCCCUAUUUUUUUAUUAGGAAAUUAUGAAUGGUAUCUUGAUAAACUAUGCAUAAAUAUUUUAUAAUUUUCUCAAACUUAAGUAAUAAUUUGUUAUAAACUCUAAAGAUAUAUAUUUCAUUACAAUAGUUAUAAGGCAGACAGGUCUUUUUAUCAAUGGAAUAAGAAAUUUAUGCCAGAUUUAUCCUUUGUACUACAUGCCAAGUAGUAUUAGCAAAGGAAUAACAAAGUACUACAAAGUAAUUAACAAAAUAGCCUUCAAGGAGUGUAAUUUAUGGGCAAAUGAGCAUUAUCUAUUCAAAGUACCAACUUUUUAUGGGCAUUUUACUCUCAAACAUAUAAUUUAUGAUAAAUUUAUAAAUGUUUGUAAGUAAAAUUCAAAAAGUGUUACACUGAUUUCUUACAAAACGAAAACUGGCAGGUUAUCUUUUCAACAUAAAUUAAAUUUUUUUAAAAAAAGAAAUGGCCCUUAAAGUACCAACUCUUUGUGGGUUUCCUCCAUUACAUGAACAAAUAUUCUGCUCUUUAUGGGCAUUUCACUCCGAAUCAUUUAAUUUAUGUUAAAUACAUAAAUGUUUGUAAGUAAAAUUCAAAAAGUGUUGCACUAAUAUUUUUAUGGAAGGGAAACUGGUAGGUUUUGUAUUUAACAUAAAUUAAAUAUGUGAAAGCAAAAAAAAAAAAGAAAUUACCCAUAAAUCUAUGUCUUGCAAAUGUAUACUAGUAAAAUAGUUUCAAACAAAAUUAAACAUUAAAAUAAACUGUAAUUUAUACAUAUUAAAAUAUUUGUAAUUUAUACACAUUUUGCAACUACUACUUUGUGUUUUCUCUAUAAUGAUUUUUUUAACUAUUGAGAACUUAAGUUUUGUCUUGCAAAUCUAUACUAGUACAAUAGUUUUAAACAAAAUUAAACAUUAAAAUAAAUGUUUCAAAAAGAACAAAAGUACAUUUAUCACUUGCGGUAAUGUAACAAAAUUUUCUCAACCAUUAUCAAUAUUUUCACAAAAGUAUUAAAAACUAGCAAUUGACAAUAUUAAAAACUAGCAAUUUAAUUAGUGACGACUUUUCUUGUCAUUAUAAUCUUGAAUAAAUUAGUGAUAACAUUAUGUCGUCACUAAAUUUUCUUUGAUUUUGACUUAAUAAUAAUGUCUUAUUAGUAGCAUUUGAUUAUUUUUAAUGAAAGUCUGUUAUAACCAUAAAAUUUGACUUUCGUUAUUUUCAAUUAAUGAUGUACUUUAGUGCUGCAAUUAUAAAAAAUUGCAGGGCUAAAAUAUUUGCAAAUUAUAAAAGUAUAUUUUCACUUAUAUGUAAUUAACAAAUUUUGCCACCUAUAUUGAUGAAAAUUUGUGUUUUUGUACUAAAAAAUAAAGAAUAAUACUAUAGCAAUAAAAUCUAUGCUUCAAACCAAAUUAAAAAUAAAAAAAAAGCAUUGUGUUUUUGUAAUCAUUAUGUGUUCUCUAAUGAUUUUUAACUGUUAUAUACUUAUGAGCCUCCUUGUUAAUUUAAUUUUCUUGUAUAUGUAAUAACUUCAUUAGAAUAAAAAUAAUUGAAUAAAUAAAUAAUUCAUUAGUGUAAAUAAACUUGUGACUACUUAACUUAGAAUGAUUAUCAGUUAAUUUGAUAUGAAAAUUUGUGCCCAAGUUUUUUGGAUAUUGUUUGAGUUAUGGGCGAAAUCAUCUCCAGUAGAAUUAUUUUAGUUGUGAAUACCAUUACUUCAUUUUUUUAUUGUGCAAGAUAAAGGUUUUCAGCGGAGUUGGUGGUGGAAACGGGUUUGAGAGAUUGUGAGUUUGGGGACGAAGGUGAAGGUUUUAAUUAGCUAUAGUGGUAGGAGUGGAUCCCCUUUUUCAUCCACCUCUGCCACCGAGAUUAACCCAUCUAACUCCACUUCCUUCAACCACCAAAACGGUGGUCCUGCUCCCCACCGCAUCGCUGCCGGAGCAAAUAACUCCGACUCGAUGCACUCCUGGUGGGAGUCCAUAUCAAAAGCC